GAUGAACGCUGGCGGCGUGCCUAAUACAUGCAAGUCGAGCGAACAGACGAGGAGCUUGCUCCUCUCACGUUAGCGGCGGGCGGGUGAGUAACACGUGGAUAACCUACCUAUCAUACUGAGAUCACUUCGGGAAACCGGCUCUAAUACCGUAUAAUCUCUUGCACCACAUGGUUCAAUGGUGAAAGACGGUUUUGCUGUCACUUCUAGAUGGAUCCGCGCCGCAUUAGCUAGUUGUUAAGUUAACGGCUUACCAAGGCAACGAUGCGUAGCCGAGCUGAGAGGGUGAUAGGCGACAUGGGAACGGAGACGGGGUCCAGACUCCUACGGGACGCAGCAGUAGGGAAUGUUACGCAAUGGUCGAAAGUCUGACGGAGCAACGCGGCGUGAGUGAUGAAGGUGUCCGGAUCGUAAAACUCGGUUAUUAGGGAAGAACAAAUGUGUAAGUAAAUAUGCACGUAGUGACGGUACCUAAUCAGAAAGCCACGGCUAACUACGUG
rnacentral:rRNA from 1 species